AUGUUGCACAUGAAUACUGAAUUAGUCAAAUAUAAAGAGCAUGUUACUUAUCUUCGAGGUUCAUGCGAUUUUAAUUUGAUAACAUCGGAUAAUUGCUUCAUCUUGAUACUGUAUUCGAUAAUAGCUUUAUAUUGUUCUCCUUUUCAUAACCUGCUUGAGACUGGAAGUUGCACCGACGAUCAUCUUAUAUUGUUUUCGGGUAGAAUUUCGAGCGACAAAAUAUUGCUGAAAACGCCGGUAAUGCAGAAAAUUCAAACAUUAAGACCAAGAAUUGCUAAUUUUGAAUAA